rnacentral:rRNA from 1 species
UACGUAGGGAGCAAGCGUUGUCCGGAAUUACUGGGCGUAAAGGGUGCGUAGGCGGCAAGAUAAGUCAGGUGUGAAAUCCCCGAGCUCAACUCGGGAACUGCAUUUGAAACUGUCUAGCUUGAGUGUGAGAGAGGUAAGUGGAAUUCCUAGUGUAGCGGUGAAAUGCGUAGAUAUUAGGAGGAACACCAGUGGCGAAGGCGACUUACUGGCUCAUAACUGACGCUGAGGCACGAAAGCGUGGGGAGCAAACAGG